AGUGAACGCUGGCGGUAGGCCUAACACAUGCAAGUCGAACGGCAGCACAGUAAGAGCUUGCUCUUACGGGUGGCGAGUGGCGGACGGGUGGGGAAUACAUCGGAAUCUACUUUUUCGUGGGGGAUAACGUAGGGAAACUUACGCUAAUACCGCAUACGACCUACGGGUGAAAGCAGGGGAUCUUCGUACCUUUCGCGAUUGAAUGAGCCGAUGUCGGAUUAGCUAGUUGGCGGGGUAAAGGCCCACCAAGGCGACGAUCCGUAGCUGGUCUGAGAGGAUGAUCAGCCACACUGGAACUGAGACACGGUCCAGACUCCUACGGGAGGCAGCAGUGGGGAAUAUUGGACAAUGGGCGAAAGCCUGAUCCAGCCAUACCGCGUGGGUGAAGAAGGCCUUCGGGUUGUAAAGCCCUUUUGUUAGGAAAGAAAAGCAGCAGGUGAAUACCCCGCUGUUCUGACGGUACCCAAAGAAUAAGCACCGGCUAACUUCGUG
rnacentral:rRNA from 1 species